rnacentral:rRNA from 1 species
GUUAUAUGGUCAAGUGAAGAAGCGCAUACGGUGGAUGCUUGGCAGUCAGAGGCGAUGAAAGACGUGGUAGCCUGCGAAAAGCUUCGGGGAGUCGGCAAACAGACUUUGAUCCGGAGAUCUCUGAAUGGGGGAACCCACCUAGGAUAACCUAGGUAUCUUGUACUGAAUCCAUAGGUGCAAGAGGCGAACCAGGGGAACUGAAACAUCUAAGUACCCUGAGGAAAAGAAAUCAACCGAGAUUCCCUUAGUAGUGGCGAGCGAACGGGGAUUAGCCCUUAAGCUUCAUUGAUUUUAGCGGAACGCUCUGGAAAGUGCGGCCAUAGUGGGUGAUAGCCCCGUACGCGAAAGGAUCUUUGAAGUGAAAUCGAGUAGGACGGAGCACGAGAAACUUUGUCUGAACAUGGGGGGACCAUCCUCCAAGGCUAAAUACUACUGACUGACCGAUAGUGAACCAGUACCGUGAGGGAAAGGCGAAAAGAACCCCGGAGAGGGGAGUGAAAUAGAACCUGAAACCGUAUGCGUACAAGCAGUGGGAGCCUACUUGUUAGGUGACUGCGUACCUUUUGUAUAAUGGGUCAGCGACUUAUAUUCAGUGGCAAGCUUAACCGUAUAGGGUAGGCGUAGCGAAAGCGAGUCUUAAUAGGGCGUUAGUCGCUGGGUAUAGACCCGAAACCGGGCGAUCUAUCCAUGAGCAGGUUGAAGGUUAGGUAACACUGACUGGAGGACCGAACCCACUCCCGUUGAAAAGGUAGGGGAUGACUUGUGGAUCGGAGUGAAAGGCUAAUCAAGCUCGGAGAUAGCUGGUUCUCCUCGAAAGCUAUUUAGGUAGCGCCUCAUGUAUCACUCUGGGGGGUAGAGCACUGUUUCGGCUAGGGGGUCAUCCCGACUUACCAAACCGAUGCAAACUCCGAAUACCCAGAAGUGCCGAGCAUGGGAGACACACGGCGGGUGCUAACGUCCGUCGUGAAAAGGGAAACAACCCAGACCGCCAGCUAAGGUCCCAAAGUUGUGGUUAAGUGGUAAACGAUGUGGGAAGGCUUAGACAGCUAGGAGGUUGGCUUAGAAGCAGCCACCCUUUAAAGAAAGCGUAAUAGCUCACUAGUCGAGUCGGCCUGCGCGGAAGAUGUAACGGGGCUCAAACCACACACCGAAGCUGCGGGUGUCACGUAAGUGACGCGGUAGAGGAGCGUUCUGUAAGCCUGUGAAGGUGAGUUGAGAAGCUUGCUGGAGGUAUCAGAAGUGCGAAUGCUGACAUGAGUAACGACAAUGGGUGUGAAAAACACCCACGCCGAAAGACCAAGGGUUCCUGCGCAACGUUAAUCGACGCAGGGUUAGUCGGUUCCUAAGGCGAGGCUGAAAAGCGUAGUCGAUGGGAAACAGGUUAAUAUUCCUGUACUUCUGGUUACUGCGAUGGAGGGACGGAGAAGGCUAGGCCAGCUUGGCGUUGGUUGUCCAAGUUUAAGGUGGUAGGCUGAAAUCUUAGGUAAAUCCGGGGUUUCAAGGCCGAGAGCUGAUGACGAGUCGUCUUUUAGAUGACGAAGUGGUUGAUGCCAUGCUUCCAAGAAAAGCUUCUAAGCUUCAGGUAACCAGGAACCGUACCCCAAACCGACACAGGUGGUCGGGUAGAGAAUACCAAGGCGCUUGAGAGAACUCGGGUGAAGGAACUAGGCAAAAUGGCACCGUAACUUCGGGAGAAGGUGCGCCGGCUAGGGUGAAGGAUUUACUCCGUAAGCUCUGGCUGGUCGAAGAUACCAGGCCGCUGCGACUGUUUAUUAAAAACACAGCACUCUGCAAACACGAAAGUGGACGUAUAGGGUGUGACGCCUGCCCGGUGCCGGAAGGUUAAUUGAUGGGGUUAGCGCAAGCGAAGCUCUUGAUCGAAGCCCCGGUAAACGGCGGCCGUAACUAUAACGGUCCUAAGGUAGCGAAAUUCCUUGUCGGGUAAGUUCCGACCUGCACGAAUGGCGUAACGAUGGCGGCGCUGUCUCCACCCGAGACUCAGUGAAAUUGAAAUCGCUGUGAAGAUGCAGUGUAUCCGCGGCUAGACGGAAAGACCCCGUGAACCUUUACUGUAGCUUUGCACUGGACUUUGAGCCUGCUUGUGUAGGAUAGGUGGGAGGCUUUGAAGCGUGGACGCCAGUUCGCGUGGAGCCAUCCUUGAAAUACCACCCUGGCAUGCUUGAGGUUCUAACUCUGGUCCGUGAUCCGGAUCGAGGACAGUGUAUGGUGGGCAGUUUGACUGGGGCGGUCUCCUCCUAAAGAGUAACGGAGGAGUACGAAGGUGCGCUCAGACCGGUCGGAAAUCGGUCGUAGAGUAUAAAGGCAAAAGCGCGCUUGACUGCGAGACAGACACGUCGAGCAGGUACGAAAGUAGGUCUUAGUGAUCCGGUGGUUCUGUAUGGAAGGGCCAUCGCUCAACGGAUAAAAGGUACUCCGGGGAUAACAGGCUGAUACCGCCCAAGAGUUCAUAUCGACGGCGGUGUUUGGCACCUCGAUGUCGGCUCAUCACAUCCUGGGGCUGAAGCCGGUCCCAAGGGUAUGGCUGUUCGCCAUUUAAAGUGGUACGCGAGCUGGGUUUAGAACGUCGUGAGACAGUUCGGUCCCUAUCUGCCGUGGACGUUUGAGAUUUGAGAGGGGCUGCUCCUAGUACGAGAGGACCGGAGUGGACGAACCUCUGGUGUUCCGGUUGUCACGCCAGUGGCAUUGCCGGGUAGCUAUGUUCGGAAAAGAUAACCGCUGAAAGCAUCUAAGCGGGAAACUUGCCUCAAGAUGAGAUCUCACUGGGAACUUGAUUCCCCUGAAGGGCCGUCGAAGACUACGACGUUGAUAGGCUGGGUGUGUAAGCGUUGUGAGGCGUUGAGCUAACCAGUACUAAUUGCCCGUGAGGCUUGACCAUAUAACACCCAAACA